CGCCUGUCGGGACCCGAAAGAUGGUGAACUAUGCCUGAGCGGGGCGAAGCCAGAGGAAACUCUGGUGGAGGCUCGAAGCGAUACGUGCGUGCAAAUCGUUCGUCUGACUUGGGUAUAGGGGCGAAAGACUAAUCGAACCAUCUAGUAGCUGGUUCCCUCCGAAGUUUCCCUCAGGAUAGCUGGAGCCCAUUACGAGUUCUAUCAGGUAAAGCCAAUGAUUAGAGGC
rnacentral:ncRNA from 1 species